AGAGUUUGAUCCUGGCUCAGGAUGAACGCUAGCGACAGGCCUAACACAUGCAAGUCGAGGGGCAGCGGGGAGGUAGCAAUACCUUUGCCGGCGACCGGCGCACGGGUGAGUAACACGUAUGCAAUCCACCUGUAACAGGGGGAUAACCCGGAGAAAUCCGGACUAAUACCCCAUAAUAUGGGCUCUCCGCAUGGAGGGUUCAUUAAAGAGAGCAAUUUUGGUUACAGACGAGCAUGCGCUCCAUUAGCCAGUUGGCGGGGUAACGGCCCACCAAAGCGACGAUGGAUAGGGGUUCUGAGAGGAAGGUCCCCCACAUUGGAACUGAGACACGGUCCAAACUCCUACGGGAGGCAGCAGUGAGGAAUAUUGGUCAAUGGUCGGCAGACUGAACCAGCCAAGUCGCGUGAGGGAAGACGGCCCUACGGGUUGUAAACCUCUUUUGUCGGAGAGUAAAGUACGCUACGUGUAGCGUAUUGCAAGUAUCCGAAGAAAAAGCAUCGGCUAACUCCGUGCCAGCAGCCGCGGUAAUACGGAGGAUGCGAGCGUUAUCCGGAUUUAUUGGGUUUAAAGGGUGCGUAGGUGGUGAUUUAAGUCAGCGGUGAAAGUUUGUGGCUCAACCAUAAAAUUGCCGUUGAAACUGGGUUACUUGAGUGUGUUUGAGGUAGGCGGAAUGCGUGGUGUAGCGGUGAAAUGCAUAGAUAUCACGCAGAACUCCGAUUGCGAAGGCAGCUUACUAAACCAUAACUGACACUGAAGCACGAAAGCGUGGGGAUCAAACAGGAUUAGAUACCCUGGUAGUCCACGCAGUAAACGAUGAUUACUAGGAGUUUGCGAUACAAUGUAAGCUCUACAGCGAAAGCGUUAAGUAAUCCACCUGGGGAGUACGCCGGCAACGGUGAAACUCAAAGGAAUUGACGGGGGCCC
rnacentral:rRNA from 1 species